UAAGAAUAAUAAUGUUAUAUAAAGAAGCUGCUAACUUCUUCAUGAGCAAAUCAUAACUGUUCUAUUCUUU
rnacentral:tRNA from 1 species